AACGUGUUAAAAUUGACAGAGUUAUAUAUAUAUUCUUUUCUGUUUGAAACAGAAAACCAGAUAUGAGUGCUUGUUACAAAGUCUAAUUAAAAUGUAGCAAACAAUCAAACGACUUGGCCAACAUUAGUUUUGACAUAGAUAAAAUUACGCAAGUAACUACAAUGUGCCUGUAGAAUCUGUCUACACACUCGCCGACCAAGAAUCCUUCCACAAUUGUCAAGAUGAGCACUCCAUCCAGAGGAGACGGAGAUGCGCUUGAUUGGGCGAAGACAGGUAUACCAGUGAUCGGAGGAGCUAUAGUCGUCUUGCUCCUGAUGUCAAAACUAAGGGGCGACCAGUCGGGCAAGUCGGGCGAUCAGUCGGGCAAGUCGGGCAAGUCGGGCAAGUCGGGCUCUGGUGCAAGCUCUCAAAGCACAAGCUCUCAAAGCGCUUCCUCAAAAUCCCCGCAAAAAGGAUACAGAAAGUCUUCUAGUGACGACGAGAAGAAGAAGAAGCCGUGCCCUUGAUGGAUCCAUAGUGUAUAAAUCGGUGCCCAUUUUGAGGGUACAGCGGCACUGUAGCCGCUUAUACGUCUACUUUAGAACUUAUUAAUGCAGCCUAUGCCGUUAUUAAGAACUUCUAACUGGCUAUUGUACUGCUUGUUAUUAGAGCUUGUAAUGCGAAAAAGUAAUCAAUUGGCUACUGCAUCGGCGUAUGGGGUGUCGUGUGGUGCCGUGCCCCAAUAUAAUUCCCGCUCGAUUGAAGUUCCCGCCAACGUCUCCCAAACAAGAGCUGCCAUACUAUCAUACGAAGUCUGCCAUAAUCUUAUGGAAGUCAUCAACAGAUAGAUAUAUGUAUAGUAAUUUCAGGCUACUUAUGUACGAUAGAGUAUAAAUGAUCUGAGCAUUUAAAGCUAACAAAAAUAUCUGUGCACUUGACGAAAAUAGUCUUAUAAAAUUAUAUUUGUUACAUUAUUAAAAUGCGUAUUUUAUUUUGCUGUAGUAUCAUAAUGUUUGAAAGU